rnacentral:tRNA from 1 species
AAGUCUUUUAGUUUAUAAAAAACGUUAAAUUGCAACUUUAAAAAAAGAUAUUUCUAAAGACUUU